rnacentral:rRNA from 1 species
AUUGAACGCUGGCGGCAGGCUUAACACAUGCAAGUCGAGCGGGGUGAUGGUGCUUGCACUAUCACUUAGCGGCGGACGGGUGAGUAAUGCUUAGGAAUCUGCCUAUUAGUGGGGGACAACAUCUCGAAAGGGAUGCUAAUACCGCAUACGUCCUACGGGAGAAAGCAGGGGAUCACUUGUGACCUUGCGCUAAUAGAUGAGCCUAGGUCGGGUUAGCUAGUUGGUGGGGUAAAGGCCUACCAAGGCGACGAUCUGUAGCGGGUCUGGGGGGAUGAUCCGCCACACUGGGCCUGAGACACGGCCCAGACUCCUACGGGGGGCAGCAGUGGGGAAUAUUGGACAAUGGGGGGAACCCUGAUCCAGCCAUGCCGCGUGUGUGAAGAAGGCCUUAUGGUUGUAAAGCACUUUAAGCGAGGAGGAGGCUCUUUUGGUUAAUACCCAAGAUGAGUGGACGUUACUCGCAGAAUAAGCACCGGCUAACUCUGUGCCAGCAGCCGCCGUAA